AACAGUAGAUAGGAUAAAGGAGAGAGGAUAAGGAAAAGACUUAUCCCUUACAACAGUGUGGGGAAUUUGGUGACACAUAACUUAGGGUCCAGUACAAACCCUGUCCCUUACCAGCCUCAGUUACCCAGUCUGGAAAAUGGAAACAGUGUUCACUCUGCUCUGUGUUCAGUAUGGAAAUGGAAAGAAACGGCUGUGCUAGGACCAGUCGUGCAGAGACUCCUUAUUCUUUGUUCCGGACCACAGAGGCUCGAAGCCAUGAAGUCUUCCACUGUGGUUUCAGGACUGUCAUAAAUGUCAAUCUUGGGGCAUUUUCAGAGCCCUUCAUUUUUCUGGCUACUGUAAGAAAACGCUGGACAGAAAGAAGCAACUCGGUCUGAAAAGAUCAGAGCUCUGGGAGGGGAUCAACAGCUUGACUGACAUAAAGGUUUCAGAGAGGUGUGAUACAUUGGCGCUGGAAGAUUCUGAUGAUUCUGCCUCCUUGUACAAAUUUAUUUUUCCACAAGCAGUAUGUGAGGGUGCUCUGUCCCCACCCUCUGUGUGAGCCCUGAGCGUCGGGUGGAGUCCUUCUUACCUUUGAGGGGAAGAAACAGUUUCCCUGUGAGAUUCUCCACUCUCUAUGUGAUUCUCCACUCCCUGUGUGAUUCUCUACUCCCGAUGUGAUUCUCUUCCUCCUGUUCCUUUCAGCUUUCAUAGUAUUUCUUUGGAGAAUUUAAAAAAAUAUAUGUAUUUUUGGAGUAUAUAACUGAUUUGUAGGAGUUCAUUUUAAUUCAUUAUAAUCAUACCCAUGAUGCAAUUAAAGUUUAUUUAUAAUGUAUACAAUUACAGUAUAUGAUAGCUACAAUGAAGUCAUAGUUAUAAUUAACAAUUAUAUUUAUAUAAAAUUAAUAAUUAUAUACUAAAUAUUAGAUAAUUAAUGAUUGUGAACUAAAUCGUUGCUCUC
rnacentral:lncRNA from 1 species